rnacentral:rRNA from 1 species
UACAGAGGGGGCAAGCGUUGUUCGGGAAUUACUGGGCGUAAAGGGCGCGUAGGCGCCCGCUAAGUCGAACGUGAAAUCCCCGAGCUCAACUCGGGAACUGCGUCCGAUACUGGCGGGCUGAAUCCGGGAGAGGAUGCGGCAAUUCCAGGUGUAGCGGUGAAUGCGUGAGAUAUCUGGAGGAACACCGGUGGCGAAGGCGGCAUCCUGGACCGGCAUUGACGCUGAGGCGCGAAAGCCAGGGGAGCAAACGGG